GAAAUGCGAUAAGUAGUGUGAAUUGCAGAAUUCAGUGAAUCAUCGAAUCUUUGAACGCACAUUGCGCCCCUUGGUAUUCCAUGGGGCAUGCCUGUUCGAGCGUCAUUUGUACCCUCAAGCUCUGCUUGGUGUUGGGUGUUUGUCCCCGUCUCCGCGCGUGGACUCGCCCCAAAGUGAUUGGCAGCCGGCGUACUGGUCCCGGAGCGCAGCACUUGUCGCGCAAACGAGUGCCUUGGUACGGCGGCGUCCAUAAGCCCCUCUCUCACGCUCUUGACCUCGGAUCAGGUAGGGAUACCCGCUGAACUUAAGC
rnacentral:misc_RNA from 1 species